UUAAGCUACUAAGGGCGCACGGUGGAUGCCUUGGCACUAGAAGCCUAAGAAGGACGGGACGAACACCGAUAUGCUUCGGGGAGCUGUAAGUACGCUUUGAUCCGGAGAUUUCCGAAUGGGGGAACCCACCAUCUUUAAUAGGAUGGUAUCCAUUUCUGAAUACAUAGGGAAUGGAAGGCAGACCCGGGGAACUGAAACAUCUCAUUACCCGGAGGAAGAGAAAGCAAACGCGAUUUCCUGAGUAGCGGCGAGCGAAACGGAAUCAGCCCAAACCAGAGGGCUUGCCCUCUGGGGUUGUAGGACGUCUCUUUGGAGUUACAAAGGCACGGAUAGACGAAGCGACCUGGAAAGGUCCAUCAGAGAAGGUAACAAUCCUGUAGUCAAAAUCCGCUGCCCUCCGAGACGGAUCCUGAGUACGGCGGGACACGUGAAACCCCGUCGGAAUCUGGGAGGACCAUCUCCCAAGGCUAAAUACUCUCUAGUGACCGAUAGUGAACCAGUACCGUGAGGGAAAGGUGAAAAGCACCCCGGAAGGGGAGUGAAAGAGAACCUGAAACCGUGUGCCUACAACUAGUUGGAGCCCGUUAAUGGGUGACAGCGUGCCUUUUGUAGAAUGAACCGGCGAGUUACGAUCCCGUGCAAGGUUAAGCUGAUAAGGCGGAGCCGCAGCGAAAGCGAGUCUGAAUAGGGCGAAAUAGUACGUGGUCGUAGACCCGAAACCAGGUGAUCUACCCAUGUCCAGGGUGAAGUUCAGGUAACACUGAAUGGAGGCCCGAACCCACGCAUGUUGAAAAAUGCGGGGAUGAGGUGUGGGUAGCGGUGAAAUGCCAAUCGAACCUGGAGAUAGCUGGUUCUCUCCGAAAUAGCUUUAGGGCUAGCCUCGCGGCAAGAAUCUUGGAGGUAGAGCACUGAUUGGACUAGGGGUCCUUACCGGAUUACCGAAUCCAGUCAAACUCCGAAUGCCAACGAUUUAUCCGCGGGAGUCAGACUGCGAGUGAUAAGAUCCGUAGUCGAGAGGGAAACAGCCCAGACCACCAGCUAAGGUCCCAAAGUAUACGUUAAGUGGAAAAGGAUGUGGCGUUGCUUAGACAACCAGGAUGUUGGCUUAGAAGCAGCCAUCAUUUAAAGAGUGCGUAAUAGCUCACUGGUCGAGUGACGCUGCGCCGAAAAUGUACCGGGGCUAAACGUAUCACCGAAGCUGUGGAUUGUCUUACGACAAUGGUAGGAGAGCGUUCUAAGGGCUGUGAAGUCAGACCGAAAGGACUGGUGGAGCGCUUAGAAGUGAGAAUGCCGGUAUGAGUAGCGAAAGACAAGUGAGAAUCUUGUCCGUCGAAAGCCCAAGGUUUCCUGAGGAAGGCUCGUCCGCUCAGGGUUAGUCGGGACCUAAGCCGAGGCCGAAAGGCGUAGGCGAUGGAUAACAGGUUGAUAUUCCUGUACCACCUCCUUUCCGUUUGAACGACGGGGGGACGCAGAAAGAUAGGGUGAGCGCGCUGCUGGAAAUGCGCGUCCAAGCGAUUAGGCUGGUGAAUAGGUAAAUCCGUUCACCGUGAAGGCUGAGUCGUGAUGGCGAGGGAAAUUUAGUACCGAAGUCCUUGAUUCUACGCUGCCAAGAAAAGCCUCUAGUGAGGAAAGAGGUGCCCGUACCGCAAACCGACACAGGUAGGCGAGGAGAGAAUCCUAAGACGAUCGGGAGAACUCUCGUUAAGGAACUCGGCAAAAUGACCCCGUAACUUCGGGAGAAGGGGUGCUUCCUCGGGUGAAUAGCCCAGGGGAGCCGCAGUGAAAAGAUCCAAGCGACUGUUUAGCAAAAACACAGGUCUCUGCAAAGCCGUAAGGCGAAGUAUAGGGGCUGACACCUGCCCGGUGCUGGAAGGUUAAGAGGAGGGGUUAUCCCUUACGGGAGAAGCUCUGAAUCGAAGCCCCAGUAAACGGCGGCCGUAACUAUAACGGUCCUAAGGUAGCGAAAUUCCUUGUCGGGUAAGUUCC
rnacentral:rRNA from 1 species